rnacentral:rRNA from 1 species
UUGGAGGGCAAGUCUGGUGCCAGCAGCCGCGGUAAUUCCAGCUCCAAUAGCGUAUAUUAAAGUUGUUGCAGUUAAAAAGCUCGUAGUUGAACUUCGGAAUUUGUUCAUUGGUCAGGCUUUACUGUCUGUACUGGUGUGACGAAUUUCUAUCUUCUGAGGAAUCUUCAUGUCAUUAAUUUGGUGUGGGGGGGAAUCAGGACUGUUACUUUGAAAAAUUAGAGUGUUUAAAGCAGGCUAACGUCUGAAUACAUUAGCAUGGAAUAAUGAAAUAGGACGGUUUGGUUCUAUUUUGUUGGUUUCUAGGAUCACCGUAAUGAUUAAUAGGGAUAGUUGGGGGCAUUAGUAUUCAAUUGUCAGAGGUGAAAUUCUUGGAUUUAUUGAAGACUAACUACUGCGAAAGCAUUUGCCAAGGAUGUUUUCAUUAAUCAAGAACGAAAGUUAGGGGAUCGAAGACGAUCAGAUACCGUCGUAGUCUUAACCAUAAACUAUGCCGACUAGGGAUCGGACGAAGUUAAUUUUUAAAUGACUCGUUCGGCGCCUUACGGGAAAC